rnacentral:rRNA from 1 species
UACGUAGGGUGCAAGCGUUUGUCCGGAAUCAUUGGGCGUAAAGAGCGUGUAGGCGGCCCGGUAAGUCCGCUGUAAAAGUCAAAGGCUCAACCUUGAAUGUCAGUGGAUACUGCCGGGCUAGAGUCCGGAAGAGGCGAGUGGAACUCCGGGUGUAGCGGUGGAAUGCGUAGAGAUCCGGAAGAACACCAGUGGCGGAAGGCGGCCCGCUGGGCAGUGGCUGACGCUGAGG